rnacentral:rRNA from 1 species
AGUGAACGCUGGCGGUAGGCCUAACACAUGCAAGUCGAACGGCAGCACAGUAAGAGCUUGCUCUUACGGGUGGCGAGUGGCGGACGGGUGAGGAAUACAUCGGAAUCUACUUUUUCGUGGGGGAUAACGUAGGGAAACUUACGCUAAUACCGCAUACGACCUACGGGUGAAAGCAGGGGAUCUUCGGACCUUGCGCGAUUGAAUGAGCCGAUGUCGGAUUAGCUAGUUGGCGGGGUAAAGGCCCACCAAGGCGACGAUCCGUAGCUGGUCUGAGAGGAUGAUCAGCCACACUGGAACUGAGACACGGUCAAGACUCCUACGGGAGGCAGCAGUGGGGAAUAUUGGACAAUGGGCGCAAGCCUGAUCCAGCCAUACCGAGUGGGUGAAGAAGGCCUUCGGGUUGUAAAGCCCUUUUGUUGGGAAAGAAAAGCAGCAGGUUAAUACCCCGCUGUUCUGACGGUACCCAAAGAAUAAGCACCGGCUAACUUCGUG